GUGAUGGACUUCGGAUGACGUUGGGGAGGUUCGGCAGACAUCAGAGGUGAUCGGUCAUUGAAGGAAUCCAGCCACUGGAGCCCGAUCAUCGUAGAAGCUCAUCCAAUAUCCAACUGCUAUGGAAGUUCGGUCGAAGUCUGGUUCUUGUAGAAGGCUGAAAGGAGACCGCUUAUUGUAGAAACUUGGUCGAAGGUCAGUUGUCG
rnacentral:lncRNA from 1 species